AGUGAACGCUGGCGGUAGGCCUAACACAUGCAAAUCGAACGGCAGCACAGUAAGAGCUUGCUCUUACGGGUGGCGAGUGGCGGACGGGUGAGGAAUACAUCGGAAUCUACUUUUUCGUGGGGGAUAACGUAGGGAAACUUACGCUAAUACCGCAUACGACCUACGGGUGAAAGCAGGGGAUCUUCGGACCUUGCGCGAUUGAAUGAGCCGAUGUCGGAUUAGCUAGUUGGCGGGGUAAAGGCCCACCAAGGCGACGAUCCGUAGCUGGUCUGAGAGGAUGAUCAGCCACACUGGAACUGAGACACGGUCCAGACUCCUACGGGAGGCAGCAGUGGGGAAUAUUAGACAAUGGGCGCAAGCCUGAUCCAGCCAUACCGCGUGGGUGAAGAAGGCCUUCGGGUUGUAAAGCCCUUUUGUUGGGAAAGAAAAGCAGCAGGUUAAUACCCCGCUGUUCUGACGGUACCCAAAGAAUAAGCACCGGCUAACUUCGU
rnacentral:rRNA from 1 species